rnacentral:rRNA from 1 species
CGGACGGGUGAGUAACGCGUGAGUAACCUGCCUUCAAGAGGGGGAUAACAUUCUGAAAAGGAUGCUAAUACCGCAUGAUAUAUCGGAACCACAUGGUUUUGAUAUCAAAGAUUUUAUCGCUUGAAGAUGGACUCGCGUCCGAUUAGUUUGUUGGUGAGGUAACGGCUCACCAAGACCGCGAUCGGUAGCCGGACUGAGAGGUUGAACGGCCACAUUGGGACUGAGACACGGCCCAGACUCCUACGGGAGGCAGCAUG